rnacentral:rRNA from 1 species
CCUACGGGGGGCAGCAGUGAGGAAUAUUGGUCAAUGGACGAGAGUCUGAACCAGCCAAGUAGCGUGAAGGAUGACUGCCCUAUGGGUGGUAAACUUCUUUUAUAAAGGAAUAAAACGAGGCACGUGUGCCUUUUUGCAUGUACUUUAUGAAUAAGGAGCGACUAACUCCGUGCCAGCAGCCGCGGUAAUACGGAGGAGCCGAGCGUUAUCCGGAUUUAUUGGGUGUAAAGGGAGCGUAGAUGGGUUGUUAAGUCAGUUGUGAAAGUUUGCGGCUCAACCGUAAAACUGCAAUUGAUACUGGCAGUCUUGAGUACAGUUGAGGUAGGCGGAAUUCGUGGUGUAGCGGUGAAAUGCGUAGAUAUCACGAAGAACCCCGAUUGCGAAGGCAGCUUACUAAACUGUGACUGACAUUGAUGCUCGAAAGUGUGGGUAGCAAACAGGAUUAGAUACCCCUGUAGUC